rnacentral:rRNA from 1 species
UGGGGAAUAUUGGACAAUGGGCGCAAGCCUGAUCCAGCCAUGCCGCGUGAGUGAUGAAGGCCUUAGGGUUGUAAAGCUCUUUUAUCCGGGACGAUAAUGACGGUACCGGAGGAAUAAGCCCCGGCUAACUUCGUGCCAGCAGCCGCGGUAAUACGAAGGGGGCUAGCGUUGCUCGGAAUCACUGGGCGUAAAGGGCGCGUAGGCGGCGUUUUAAGUCGGGGGUGAAAGCCUGUGGCUCAACCACAGAAUGGCCUUCGAUACUGGGACGCUUGAGUAUGGUAGAGGUUGGUGGAACUGCGAGUGUAGAGGUGAAAUUCGUAGAUAUUCGCAAGAACACCGGUGGCGAAGGCGGCCAACUGGACCAUUACUGACGCUGAGGCGCGAAAGCGUGGGGAGCAAACAG